rnacentral:rRNA from 1 species
AUGCUUAACACAUGCAAGUCGAACGGUAACAUUUCUAGCUUGCUAGAAGAUGACGAGUGGCGGACGGGUGAGUAAUGCUUGGGAACUUGCCUUUGCGAGGGGGAUAACAGUUGGAAACGACUGCUAAUACCGCAUAAUGUCUUCGGACCAAACGGGGCUUCGGCUCCGGCGCAAGGAGAGGCCCAAGUGAGAUUAGCUAGUUGGUAAGGUAACGGCUUACCAAGGCGACGAUCUCUAGCUGUUCUGAGAGGAAGAUCAGCCACACUGGGACUGAGACACGGCCCAGACUCCUACGGGAGGCAGCAGUGGGGAAUAUUGCACAAUGGGGGAAACCCUGAUGCAGCCAUGCCGCGUGUGUGAAGAAGGCCUUCGGGUUGUAAAGCACUUUCAGUUGUGAGGAAAAGUUAGUAGUUAAUACCUGCUAACCGUGACGUUAACAACAGAAGAAGCACCGGCUAACUCCGUGCCAGCAGCCGCGGUAAUACGGAGGGUGCGAGCGUUAAUCGGAAUUACUGGGCGUAAAGCGCACGCAGGCGGUUUGUUAAGCUAGAUGUGAAAGCCCCGGGCUCAACCUGGGAUGGUCAUUUAGAACUGGCAGACUAGAGUCUUGGAGAGGGGAGUGGAAUUCCAGGUGUAGCGGUGAAAUGCGUAGAUAUCUGAAGGAACACCAGUGG